UGCAGCCGAGCGGUAUGGAUAGCUUGCUAUCCAGAGAGCGGCGUACGGGUGCGUAACACGUGUGCAACCUGCCUUUAUCUGGGGGAUAGCCUUUCGAAAGGAAGAUUAAUACCCCAUAAUAUGGUGUCCGGCAUCGGUCGCCAUUGAAAGCCUCGGCGGAUAGAGAUGGGCACGCGCAAGAUUAGAUAGUUGGCGGGGUAACGGCCCACCAAGUCGAUGAUCUUUAGGGGUCCUGAGAGGGAGAUCCCCCACACUGGUACUGAGACACGGACCAGACUCCUACGGGAGGCAGCAGUGAGGAAUAUUGGAUGGUGGGUGGAAGCCUGAUCCAGCCAUCCCGCGUGAAGGAUGACGGUCCUAUGGAUUGUAAACUUCUUUUGUACAGGGAUAAACCUGCCCUCGUGAGGGCAGCUGAAGGUACUGUACGAAUAAGCACCGGCUAACUCCGUGCCAGCAGCCGCGGUAAUACGGAGGGUGCGAGCGUUAUCCGGAUUUAUUGGGUUUAAAGGGUCCGUAGGCGGGCCUGUAAGUCAGUGGUGAAAUCUCAUAGCUUAACUAUGAAACUGCCAUUGAUACUGCAGGCCUUGAGUAAAUUUGAAGUGGCUGGAAUAAGUAGUGUAGCGGUGAAAUGCAUAGAUAUUACUUAGAACACCGAUUGCGAAGGCAGGUCACUAAGAUUUAACUGACGCUGAUGGACGAAAGCGUGGGGAGCGAACAGGAUUAGAUACCCUGGUAGUCCACGCCGUAAACGAUGCUAACUCGUUUUUGGAUCUUCGGGUUCAGAGACCAAGCGAAAGUGAUAAGUUAGCCACCUGGGGAGUACGUCCGCAAGGAUGAAACUCAAAGGAAUUGACGGGGGCCCGCACAAGCGGUGGAUUAUGUGGUUUAAUUCGAUGAUACGCGAGGAACCUUACCAAGACUUAAAUGGGAAUUGACAGAUUUAGAAAUAGAUCCUCCUUCGGGCAAUUUUCAAGGUGCUGCAUGGUUGUCGUCAGCUCGUGCCGUGAGGUGUUAGGUUAAGUCCUGCAACGAGCGCAACCCCUGCCAACAGUUGCCAUCAUUCAGUUGGGGACUCUGUUGGGACUGCCUACGCAAGUAGAGAGGAAGGUGGGGAUGACGUCAAAUCAUCACGGCCCUUACGUCUUGGGCCACACACGUAAUACAAUGGCCGGUACAGAGGGCAGCUACCUGGUGACAGGAUGCGAAUCUCGAAAGCCGGUCUCAGUUCGGAUUGGAGUCUGCAACUCGACUCUAUGAAGCUGGAAUCGCUAGUAAUCGCGCAUCAGCCAUGGCGCGGUGAAUACGUUCCCGGGCCUCGUACACACCGCCCGUCAAGCCAUGGAAGUCUGGGGUACCUGAAGUCGG
rnacentral:rRNA from 1 species